rnacentral:rRNA from 1 species
CCUACGGGAGGCAGCAGUGAGGAAUAUUGGUCAAUGGGCGCGAGCCUGAACCAGCCAAGUAGCGUGAAGGAUGACUGCCCUACGGGUUGUAAACUUCUUUUAUAAAGGAAUAAAGUGAGGCACGUGUGCCUUUUUGUAUGUACUUUAUGAAUAAGGAUCGGCUAACUCCGUGCCAGCAGCCGCGGUAAUACGGAGGGUCCGAGCGUUAUCCGGAUUUAUUGGGUUUAAAGGGAGCGUAGAUGGGUUGUUAAGUCAGUUGUGAAAGUUUGCGGCUCAACCGUAAAAUUGCAAUUGAUACUGGCAGUCUUGAGUACAGUUGAGGUAGGCAGAAUUCGUGGUGUAGCGGUGAAAUGCGUAGAGAUCACGAAGAACUCCGAUGGCGAAGGCAGCUUACUAAACUGCGACUGACACUGAUGCUCGAAAGUGUGGGGAUCAAACAGGAUUAGAUACCCCGGUAGUC